rnacentral:rRNA from 1 species
UGAGGAAUAUUGCGCAAUGGAGGAAACUCUGACGCAGCCAUGCCGCGUGAGUGAAGAAGGCCUUAGGGUUGUAAAGCUCUUUCAGAUGCGAAGAUAAUGACGGUAACAUCAGAAGAAGCCCCGGCUAAAUUCGUGCCAGCAGCCGCGGUAAUACGAAUGGGGCGAGCGUUGUUCGGAAUCACUGGGCGUAAAGCGUAUGUAGGCGGAUAUGAAAGUCAGAAGUGAAAUCCCGGGGCUCAACCCCGGAAUUGCUUUUGAAACUCCAUAUCUUGAGUCCCGGAGGGGCCAGCAGAAUUCCUAGUGUAGAGGUGAAAUUCGCAGAUAUUAGGAGGAAUACCAGUGGCGUAGGCGGCUGGCUGGACGGGAACUGACGCUGAGAUACGAAAGCAUGGGGAGCAAACAGGAUUAGAUACCCGCGUAGUCC